rnacentral:piRNA from 1 species
UGAAUAGUAUUCAGCCUUGGAAUCAC